AAACGAGAGGGAAAGUAUCACCGGGCACGAGUAACCCGGUGUGAAGAUAGGGGGCCCAUCCCCUAAGGCUAAAUACUAACAUGUGACCGAUAGUGAACAAGUACCGUGAGGGAAAGGUGAAAAGAACCCCGAAAGGGGAGUGAAAUAGAACCUGAAACCUAGUGCCUACAAGCAGACAGAGCGUGAGCGAACGUGAUGUCGUACCUUUUGUAGAAUGGGCCAGCGAGUUAUUCUAAAUUGCAAGGUUAAUGAUUUAAGAUCAGAAGCCGUAGCGAAAGCGAGUCUUAAUAGGGCGAAAGUAAGUUAGAAUAGACCCGAAACCGGGUGAUCUAUCCAUGGUCAGAGUGAAGUUGAAGUAAAAUUCAAUGGAGGCUCGAACCGGGUGCGGUUUAAAACGCAUCGGAUGAACUGUGGAUAGGGGCGAAAAACCAAACGAACCCGGAGAUAGCUGGUUCUCCUCGAAAUAGCUUUAGGGCUAGCCUCUGACCUAAGAUUUUAGGAGGUAGAGCACUGAAUGGUCUAGGGCGGAUUACCGUACCAAAACCUAUCAAACUCCGAAUGCCAAAAAAUCAAGUCAGGGAGUCAGACUUAGGGGGAUAAGCUUCUAAGUCGAAAGGGAAACAGCCCAGACCGACAGCUAAGGUCCCAAAAUUUGAAUUAAGUGGAAAAGGAUGUGAAUCUACUAAGACAACCAGGACGUUGGCUUAGAAGCAGCCAUGCAUUUAAAGAAUGCGUAAUAGCUCACUGGUCAAGUGGGUUUGCGCCGAAAAUGAACGGGGCUCAAAUUCAAUACCGAAGCUUCGGAUUAAUAGAGGGAUUAAGUUUACAAAUGAGACUAGGAAAUAUUUAACAAAAACAGAAGAGAUUAAAAAGAAAAACAAAUUUCAGACGCAGACAUAAAAGAUAGGAUAUUAAAAAGAAAUAUUCAAAAAACACAAGUCUAAAGUCAAAAGUGAGUAACAUAAGAAAUUAUGAACUAACAAUCACUGGUUAGAGUUAAAAACUAGGACUCAUAGCUAAACUUAAUACCUCUAUUAGUGGUAGAGGAGCAUUGUAUUAGAGACGAAGCCAAGGCGAAAGCAAAAGUGGAUCUAAUACAAGAGAGAAUGCUGGCAUGAGUAGCGAGAAGGGAUGUGAGAAUCAUCCCCGUCGAAACCCUAAGGACUCCUGAGCAAGGCUCGUCCCCUCAGGGAAAGUCGGGACCUAAGCCAAGGCCGAAAGGCGUAGGCGAUGGAUAACAGGUUUAUAUUCCUGUACCGCUUGAAGUCGUUAAGAGAGAAGUGAUGACGCAAAAGGAUAAGCAAAGCCAUCAGAUGGAAAAGAUGGUCUAAAGCCGUAGGAAGAAAAGUAGGCAAAUCCGCUUUUCACAAAUUCUAAAAGCCGAUAGGUAUCGAAAACAUAAGUAGAGAAGUUGCCGAUUCCAGGUUGCCAAGAAAAGUCACUAUCCAGACCAAAGCGCCCGUACCAAAACCGACACAGGUAGGCCACAGAAACCAGGCCCAAGCGACUGUUUACCAAAAACACAAGUUUCUGCAAAAUCGCAAGAUGAAGUAUAGGAGCUGACACCUGCCCGGUGCUGGAAGGUUAAGGGGAAGGCUUAGAGCAAUCGAAGGCUAGAACUUAAGCCCCAGUAAACGGCGGCCGUAACUAUAACGGUCCUAAGGUAGCGAAAUUCCUUGUCGGGUAAGUUCCGACCCGCACGAAAGGUGUAACGAUUUGGGCACUGUCUCAACAAAGGAUCCGGUGAAAUUGUAGUAGUCGUGAAGAUGCGACUUACCCACGCUAGGACGGAAAGACCCCGUGGAGCUUUACUGUAGGCUGAUAUUGGAUUUUGAGAUUAAAUGUACAGGAUAGUUGGGAGACUGAGAUAUCUGGAUGCCAAUCUAGGAGGAGUCACUGGUGGGAUACCAACCUUUUAAUAUCAAAGUUCUAACCAUAGCCCUUGAAUCAGGGCAUGGGACAUUGUCAGUUGGGCAGUUUGACUGGGGCGGUCGCCUCCUAAAAAGUAACGGAGGCGUUCAAAGGUUCGCUCAGAAUGGACGGAAACCAUUCG
rnacentral:rRNA from 1 species